rnacentral:sRNA from 1 species
UAGUGUGAGAGGUGCGGCGGGGGAGUCCUCCAGAAUACGCAUCAUAUAGCCCCUGAGGUAGCAUGGUGAUGUCUCCAUGAGGGAACCCCCUCCCACUCAUCCUGUCACGUAUAUCAUAGUGUUCUUGACUGGGCCAUUCAUCUAAGAUGGGAUUUACCCUGUGAAACAGGGAGAAGACUUAUGGACCCCAAGCAUCAUUUCGAGUUGUAGUUGAGUUUUUAAAAGACAUACAUGCAAAGUUCCUUUGCUUUGGACCCUCUGCAUUAUUAAAGCUGCUGUAUUGCUAACCCAGAACUGCUCCAGUGUCUUGACUGAUCAUCAUGGCUUCAGUUUGGAAGAGACUGCAGCGUGUGGGAAAACAUGCAUCCAAGUUCCAGUUUGUGGCCUCCUACCAGGAGCUGAUGGUUGAGUGUACGAAGAAAUGGCAACCAGAUAAACUGGUGGUAGUUUGGACCAGAAGAAGCCGAAGGAAGUCUUCUAAGGCACAUAGCUGGCAACCUGGAAUAAAAAAUCCCUAUCGUGGUGUUGUUGUGUGGCCUGUUCCUGAAAACAUUGAAAUCACUGUAACACUUUUUAAGGAUCCUCAUGCGGAAGAAUUUGAAGACAAAGAGUGGACAUUUGUCAUAGAAAAUGUAAGCUAAUGGCAAAUUCCUUCACCUUUCACAUUUUGAACUUUAUAUAUGCAUUAUUAAGGUACAUUGGCAUUUUGGUGGUAGGAAAAAUGUUGCCUUAAGAAAAUUAAAUAGUGAUUUGUAGCUUUUAGAAUGUUUUUAAUGAAAUGAUAGCCAGUAACAAAAUUAUUUGUAAGAAAUGCUUUUAUUAACACUGUAAGUCUUCAAUACCAAAUUAUAUGUAUGUUUGUAUGUGUGUGUGUAUGUGUAUUUUAUAUAUAUAUAAAAAUAUAUGUAUAUAUAAAAAUAUAUAUAUAUAUAUAUAUAUAUUCUGUUUGGGGUUUAAGGGCAAGCCCAUAUCUUACUCAUCUUUUUAUAUGUCAGCAUCUAGCAUAGUCCUUAUCACAUAGCAGAUACUCAUCUCCACAUGUGUUGGAUGAAACCAUGAAUGACCUUUGAAAUCUUUAAAAAUAAAGUGUGUGGGUUGGGUGUGGUGGCUCAUUCCUGUAAUCCCAGUACUUUGAGAGGCUGAGGUAGGCAGAUCACCUGAGAUCAGGAGUUUGCGACCGGCCUGGCCAAAGUGGUGAAACCCUGUCUCUACUAAAAAUACAGAAAAUAGCUGAGCGUCAUGGCGGGCACCUGUAGUCCCAGCUACUUGGGAGGCUGAGGCAGGAGAAUCGCUGGAACCCGGGAGGCAGAGGUUGCAGUGAGCCGAGAUUGUGCCAUUGCACUCCAGCCUGGGUGACGAGUGAAAAUCCACCAAGAAAGAAAGAGAGAGAGAGAGAAA